rnacentral:rRNA from 1 species
UACGAAGGGGGCUAGCGUUGCUCGGAAUGACUGGGCGUAAAGCGCACGUAGGCGGAUCGAUCAGUCAGGGGUGAAAUCCCAGAGCUCAACUCUGGAACUGCCUUUGAUACUGUCGAUCUGGAGUAUGGAAGAGGUGAGUGGAAUUCCGAGUGUAGAGGUGAAAUUCGUAGAUAUUCGGAGGAACACCAGUGGCGAAGGCGGCUCACUGGUCCAUUACUGACGCUGAGGUGCGAAAGCGUGGGGAGCAAACAGG